rfam:Salmo salar isolate Sally breed double haploid chromosome ssa17, whole genome shotgun sequence.
GGUCCUGUGGCUCAGUUGGUAAAGCAUGGUACUUGCAACGCCAGGAUAGUGGGUUCAAUUUCCAGGAUCA